UACCUGGUUGAUUCUGCCAGUAGUCAUAUGCUUGUCUCAAAGAUUAAGCCAUGCAUGUCUAAGUAUAAGCAAUCUAUACAGUGAAACUGCGAAUGGCUCAUUAAAUCAGUUAUCGUUUAUUUGAUAGUACCUUACUACUUGGAUAACCGUGGUAAUUCUAGAGCUAAUACAUGCUAAAAACCCCGACUUCGGAAGGGGUGUAUUUAUUAGAUAAAAAACCAAUGCUCUUCGGGGCUCCUUGGUGAUUCAUAAUAACUUAACGAAUCGCAUGGCCUUGUGCCGGCGAUGGUUCAUUCAAAUUUCUGCCCUAUCAACUUUCGAUGGUAGGAUAGUGGCCUACCAUGGUUUCAACGGGUAACGGGGAAUUAGGGUUCUAUUCCGGAGAGGGAGCCUGAGAAACGGCUACCACAUCCAAGGAAGGCAGCAGGCGCGCAAAUUACCCAAUCCCGACACGGGGAGGUAGUGACAAUAAAUACUGAUACAGGGCUCUUUUGAGUCUUGUAAUUGGAAUGAGUACAAUUUAAAUCCCUUAACGAGGAACAAUUGGAGGGCAAGUCUGGUGCCAGCAGCCGCGGUAAUUCCAGCUCCAAUAGCGUAUAUUAAAGUUGUUGCAGUUAAAAAGCUCGUAGUUGAACCUUGGGCCUGGCUGGCCGGUCCGCCUCACCGCGUGCACUGGUCCGGCCGGGCCUUUCCUCCUGGGGAGCCGCAUGCCCUUCACUGGGUGUGUCGGGGAACCAGGACUUUUACUUUGAAAAAAUUAGAGUGUUCAAAGCAGGCCUAUGCUCGAAUACAUUAGCAUGGAAUAAUAGAAUAGGACGUGUGGUUCUAUUUUGUUGGUUUCUAGGACCGCCGUAAUGAUUAAUAGGGAUAGUCGGGGGCAUCAGUAUUCAAUUGUCAGAGGUGAAAUUCUUGGAUUUAUUGAAGACUAACUACUGCGAAAGCAUUUGCCAAGGAUGUUUUCAUUAAUCAGUGAACGAAAGUUAGGGGAUCGAAGACGAUCAGAUACCGUCGUAGUCUUAACCAUAAACUAUGCCGACUAGGGAUCGGGCGAUGUUAUCUUUUUGACUCGCUCGGCACCUUACGAGAAAUCAAAGUUUUUGGGUUCUGGGGGGAGUAUGGUCGCAAGGCUGAAACUUAAAGAAAUUGACGGAAGGGCACCACCAGGAGUGGAGCCUGCGGCUUAAUUUGACUCAACACGGGGAAACUCACCAGGUCCAGACACAAUAAGGAUUGACAGAUUGAGAGCUCUUUCUUGAUUUUGUGGGUGGUGGUGCAUGGCCGUUCUU
rnacentral:ncRNA from 1 species